GAUGAACGCUGGCGGCGUGCCUAAUACAUGCAAGUCGAGCGAACGGACGAGAAGCUCGCUUCUCUGAUGUUAGCGGCGGACGGGUGAGUAACACGUGGAUAACCUACCUAUAAGACUGGGAUAACUUCGGGAAACCGGAGCUAAUACCGGAUAAUAUUUUGAACCGCAUGGUUCAAAAGUAAAAGACGGUCUUGCUGUCACUUAUAGAUGGAUCCGCGCUGCAUUAGCUAGUUGGUAAGGUAACGGCUUACCAAGGCAACGAUGCAUAGCCGACCUGAGAGGGUGAUCGGCCACACUGGAACUGAGACACGGUCCAGACUCCUACGGGAGGCAGCAGUAGGGAAUCUUCCGCAAUGGGCGAAAGCCUGACGGAGCAACGCCGCGUGAGUGAUGAAGGUCUUCGGAUCGUAAAACUCUGUUAUUAGGGAAGAACAUAUGUGUAAGUAACUGUGCACAUCUUGACGGUACCUAAUCAGAAAGCCACGGCUAACUACGUGCCAGCAGCCGCGGUAAUACGUAGGUGGCAAGCGUUAUCCGGAAUUAUUGGGCGUAAAGCGCGCGUAGGCGGUUUUUUAAGUCUGAUGUGAAAGCCCACGGCUCAACCGUGGAGGGUCAUUGGAAACUGGAAAACUUGAGUGCAGAAGAGGAAAGUGGAAUUCCAUGUGUAGCGGUGAAAUGCGCAGAGAUAUGGAGGAACACCAGUGGCGAAGGCGACUUUCUGGUCUGUAACUGACGCUGAUGUGCGAAAGCGUGGGGAUCAAACAGG
rnacentral:rRNA from 1 species